AUUGAACGCUGGCGGCAGGCUUAACACAUGCAAGUCGAGCGGAGCGAGGGUGCUUGCACCUUAGCUUAGCGGCGGACGGGUGAGUAAUGCUUAGGAAUCUGCCUAUUAGUGGGGGACAACAUUCCGAAAGGAAUGCUAAUACCGCAUACGCCCUACGGGGGAAAGCAGGGGAUCUUCGGACCUUGCGCUAAUAGAUGAGCCUAAGUCGGAAUAGCUAGUUGGUGGGGUAAAGGCCUACCAAGGCGACGAUCUGAAGCGGGUCUGAGAGGAUGAUCCGCCACACUGGGACUGAGACACGGCCCAGACUCCUACGGGAGGCAGGAGUGGGGAAUAUUGGACAAUGGGCGGAAGCCUGAUCCAGCCAUGCCGCGUGUGUGAAGAAGGCCUUUUGGUUGUAAAGCACUUUAAGCGAGGAGGAGGCUACUUAGAUUAAUACUCUGGGAUAGUGGACGUUACUCGCAGAAUAAGCACCGGCUAACUCUGUGCCAGCCGCCGCGGUAACAC
rnacentral:rRNA from 1 species